UGCACCAGUUUGUGUACUGGGCCUCUAGAAAAAGAUAAAAAUGGUACACCUGUUUGAGCACUUAUGAAUGGGCUUGCAGGACUGGAAGUUGCUCUGGUGAGUCAUUGAAGCCCAGGACCUUCUUAUCUCCCUGGUGUCCUGCCCAGUGAUGAAGAGACCCAGACUCCAGGUUCUCCUCUGCGGACUGGAUUCCCUUCCUCUGCUGGAGAGAAGUGAGUGGCCACGCACACAUACGGUUGCUGCCUGUAUCAGAUGCAGGACUGGCCAGCAUCGUUCUUACAAGCUGCCCAACACAAUCAUAUCUGAAUCAUUCAGUGUCUCUCCUCCAAGCUUGGCUCUAGCGGAAUUUUUGAACAGAUUGAGAAGUGACCACAUGAUGGCAGUAUAAAGCUGUUGAUGUACUCAUAAAGUUGGCAAACUGCAGAGCUCCAGGGCGUCAAAAUCUGCAUUCUUCUGUUUUUGUGAAUGUCAGAAAAUAAAAAUUGAU